UACGUAGGGUGCAAGCGUUAAUCGGAAUUACUGGGCGUAAAGCGUGCGCAGGCGGUUGUGCAAGACCGAUGUGAAAUCCCCGGGCUUAACCUGGGAAUGGCAUUGGUGACUGCACGGCUAGAGUGUGUCAGAGGGGGGUAGAAUUCCACGUGUAGCAGUGAAAUGCGUAGAGAUGUGGAGGAAUACCGAUGGCGAAGGCAGCCCCCUGGGAUAACACUGACGCUCAUGCACGAAAGCGUGGGGAGCAAAAAGG
rnacentral:rRNA from 1 species